rnacentral:misc_RNA from 1 species
GAUGAAGAACGUAGCGAAAUGCGAUAAGUAAUGCGAAUUGCAGAAUUUCCGUGAGUCAUCGAAUCUUUGAACGCACAUUGCGCCCCCUGGUAUUCCGGGGGGCAUGCCUGUCCGAGCGUCAUUACAACCCUCAAGCUCAGCUUGGUGUUGGGCCCCGCCGCCCCGGCGGGCCCUAAAGUCAGUGGCGGUGCCGUCCGGCUCCGAGCGUAGUAAUUCUUCUCGCUCUGGAGGUCCGGUCGUGUGCUCGCCAGCAACCCCCAAUUUUUUUCAGGUUGACCUCGGAUCAGGUAGGGAUACCCGCUGAACUUAAGCAUACAAUAAGCGGAGGA